rnacentral:lncRNA from 10 species
CCAGGCACUGUAAUUUAUCCAUUUGCUUCUCUGUCUCUCACUAGAUUUGAGGACGGAGGCCGUGUCUCUAUGGAAGCUCCCUCCCCCAACUGCCUCCCUCCAUGCCUGGCUCUGCCAAGCCCAGGGCCUGGGGCUUUGGAGUCCGGGGCCACCGGGGCCACCGCUGGCUCCUAGUUCCAGUUCCACCACUUAGGGACAGCUGCCCUCUGCCAAGUUUCCUAACCUCACCCAGCCUUGGGGCUGUGGUGAGGAUUAAAAGGUAAUAUCUACCAGUAGAGGGGUGGGCAAUUGCAGAAUAGUCAGGCUAUCUGAUAAAAGGACGAGAACCAGGAGAAGAACAUUGCAGGGAAGAGCAUUUCAGGCCUCCCCCCAGGCUGCCCUAAUUUGCUUUUUAAAGAAUUUUGUGACCCAAAUAAAUAUAAUUGGUGGCAUUUCCA